GGUUGUGGCUCAGAGGUAGAGCGCUUGCCUAGCACGUGCGAGGCCCUGGGUUCUGCCCUCAGCACCACCU
rnacentral:tRNA from 1 species